rnacentral:tRNA from 1 species
GCCUGGGUGGCUCAGUCGGUUAAGCGUCCGACUUCGGCUCGGGUCAUGAUCUCACGGUCCGUGAGUUCGAGCCCCACAUCGGGCU